AUACGUAGGGGGCGAGCGUUGUCCGGAAUGAUUGGGCGUAAAGGGCGCGUAGGCGGCCUGUUAAGUCUGGAGUGAAAGUCCUGUUUUCAAGAUGGGAAUUGCUUUGGAUACUGAUGGGCUUGAGUGCAGGAGAGGUUAUCGGAAUUCCCGGUGUAGCGGUGAAAUGCGUAGAGAUCGGGAGGAACACCAGUGGCGAAGGCGGGUAACUGGACUGCAACUGACGCUGAGGCGCGAAAGUGUGGGGAGCAAACAGGAUUAGAUACCCUGGUAGUCCACACUGUAAACGAUGAAUGCUAGGUGUAAGAGGUAUCGACCCCUUUUGUGCCGGAGUUAACACAAUAAGCAUUCCGCCUGGGGAGUGCGGCCGCAAGGUUGAAACUCAAAUGAAUUGACGGGG
rnacentral:rRNA from 1 species